AGGGGAAGUAGAAAAGAAGAAAAAAAAGAAGAGAAAAGGAAGAAAAGGUGACUCAAGAAGGUGAUGAAGCACUUUACAAUGGUGAAGGUUAAUUCGAAGGCAAAUAAGAUGAAGUGUUGGAGCUGUAGUUCAUUUGAAGACUUAGACUAGUUGUUUUUUUUUUCCUUUUAACUUUUGGUUUGGCAAUGUUUUAGUAAUCCUGUAAUGGACCAUAAACAAAUUAUCUGUGAUAUUAACUCUGUUUAUAUAUGUAUAUUAAAAUAUUUUGGUUA